GACCCGUCACGUGACCCGCUGGCCGGCCCGCGGGGAGGUGCGGGCAGGGCGGGGGCUCUGGAGAGCGGCCACGAGGCCCCGCCCUCGACGGGCCUGCCCUCGGCGGGGGCUGACGCGACACCAGGGCGGGGUCCGGGAGCCCCGGCUCCUAAGCCACGCCCCGAAAAGCUUGAGCGCGCCGCUGUGGAGCUCAAGUCUGCCCGUCCGGAAACUGGGUCUCUGCCCGGGAAAGACUUGGGUCGGCUUACGCAAGCCUAGGAUGGUAUUAGUGUGGUCGCCCUUAGUCCUGGGAACCUAGCCCUGAGGGUGACAGCCUCCUUGCCUCUGUUGGACUCGAAAUUUCUACUUGGUGUCUCCCUGCUCCAAGAGCCACCCUGCUCGUAGCCCAGAGGAGGCAAGGGCCUGGGUUUGUGCUUGCCUGAGACAGAGAAUGAACUCCGCCCAGGAGUGAUUAAAUCUCAGAACUGCUCUGAGCUGCGAAAGGGAUUUCACUUCCAGAACACCCGUGAGAAGCUCAGCCGUGACAGCACAGUGAGACUACGGGAAGGAAUUAAAUAGGAUGCCAGCGGGCUACAUGGUCCCCAAAGGCGGUGUCCAAUGAGGCUGAGAGACUCUCCCAACAACUGGAGAUGAGCAGCAACAUCAAUGGGCUCUGUCUCAGGGGCUUUGGCUGGGUUUCUCUGGGCAGCCUUUGGUGUCCUAUGUCCUGGAACUCUGAAGACUAGGCCUGCCUCUGCCUCCACCUGUCUCUGCUCCUUGAGUGCUAGGAUUAGAGGUGUUUUUCUCAACAAAACACCAAUGGAAAUCUGAGAGAACCAACCCAAAAACAAAAUGAAAGAACUGGGAAAACCAACCAACCAAAACCCUCUGUACUUUCUUCCUGUAGAAGCUUCAAACUAUGAUGAUCCUCUAACAGCCCCUUCUGGUCUUAUAGUCAGUCUAACACAAACCAACAAUUCACACUUUCAAAGCUUCAGGCAUCUGGUUUGCCUUACGAGUCAGAUUUGUUGGGGCUGGAGAUAUGGCUCAGAGUUUAAAAGGACUCUGCUCGAGUUCAAUACCCAGCAACCACAUGGAAUGAUAUCUGGUGCCCUCUUCUGGUGUCUGGUGCCCUCUUCCCUCUUCUGGUGUGCAGGCGGAACA